CAGUCGCCGCGGGAAUACGAAGGGGGCUAGCGUUAAUCGGAAUUACUGGGCGUAAAGCGUGCGCAGGCGGUUAUAUAAGACAGAUGUGAAAUCCCCGGGCUCAACCUGGGACCUGCAUUUGUGACUGUAUAGCUAGAGUACGGUAGAGGGGGAUGGAAUUCCGCGUGUAGCAGUGAAAUGCGUAGAUAUGCGGAGGAACACCGGUGGCGAAGGCAAUCCCCUGGACCUGUACUGACGCUCAUGCACGAAAGCGUGGGGAGCAAACAGGAUUAGAUACCCCGGUAGUCCCUGUCUCUUAUAC
rnacentral:rRNA from 1 species